AGUGUGCCCCGGACGCAGUGUCCUAGCGCUCAUCGGGUCAUCCUCUGCAGCCCAGAUUGUCCCUGUCCAAGACUGCGGAAUGAAGAAUCCAGCUUUGAGAACCUGUGUGUAAGUCCUCUCUGGUCAGCAAAGGAAUCUGUGCAGAGCGCCAUGAAUUAGAGGAUGGGGGAAUGAGUGCUUGAAGAUGCCCGAGGUCCAGGUGAGAAAUCAGGGUUGAAAACUGCAUGGAGGAUUCAUCAUUUCUGCCCUGAAUUGGAAUCAAUUCCUUAUUGACUUAUUAUUACUGUAUUAAAAGUGUUUUUAAUUAA
ensembl:processed_transcript AA465934 expressed sequence AA465934